GACGAACGCUGGCGGCGUGCUUAACACAUGCAAGUCGAACGGAAAGGCCCUGCUUUUGUGGGGUGCUCGAGUGGCGAACGGGUGAGUAACACGUGAGUAACCUGCCCUUGACUUUGGGAUAACUUCAGGAAACUGGGGCUAAUACCGGAUAGGAGCUCCCGCUGCAGGGGGGGGGUUGGAAAGUUUUGGCGGUUGGGGAUGGACGCGCGGCUUAUCAGCUUGUUGGUGGGGUAGUGGCUUACCAAGGCUUUGACGGGUAGCCGGCCUGAGAGGGUGAACGGCCACAUUGGGACUGAGAUACGGCCCAGACUCCUACGGGAGGCAGCAGUGGGGAAUAUUGCACAAUGGGCGGAAGCCUGAUGCAGCGACGCCGCGUGCGGGAUGACGGCCUUCGGGUUGUAAACCGCUUUCGCCUGUGACGAAGCGUGAGUGACGGUAAUGGGUGAAGAAGCACCGGCUAACUACGUG
rnacentral:rRNA from 1 species